rnacentral:rRNA from 1 species
CGGUCUCUUUCCGAACCCGGAAGUUAAGACACCUCACGUGGAUACUGGUACUGAGGUACGCGAGUCCUCGGGAACGUAUCUUCGCUGCUAUUG